CCUACGGGAGGCAGCAGUGGGGAAUCUUGCGCAAUGGGCGAAAGCCUGACGCAGCCAUGCCGCGUGAAUGAUGAAGGUCUUAGGAUUGUAAAAUUCUUUCACCGGGGACGAUAAUGACGGUACCCGGAGAAGAAGCCCCGGCUAACUUCGUGCCAGCAGCCGCGGUAAUACGAAGGGGGCUAGCGUUGCUCGGAAUUACUGGGCGUAAAGGGAGCGUAGGCGGACAUUUAAGUCAGGGGUGAAAUCCCAGAGCUCAACUCUGGAACUGCCUUUGAUACUGGAUGUCUUGAGUGUGAGAGAGGUAUGUGGAACUCCGAGUGUAGAGGUGAAAUUCGUAGAUAUUCGGAAGAACACCAGUGGCGAAGGCGACAUACUGGCUCAUUACUGACGCUGAGGCUCGAAAGCGUGGGGAGCAAACAGGAUUAGAUACCCUGGUAGUCCACGCCGUAAACGAUGAUUGCUAGUUGUCGGGAUGUUUACAUCUCGGCGACGCAGCUAACGCAUUAAGCAAUCCGCCUGGGGAGUACGGUCGCAAGAUUAAAACUUAAAGGAAUUGACGG
rnacentral:rRNA from 1 species